ACAUACGACCAUAGGGUGUGGAAAACAGGGCUUCCCGUCCGCUCAGCCGUACUUAAACCACACGCCGGUGAGUUAGUAGUUGGGUGGGUGACCACCAGCGAAUCCUCACUGUUGUAUGUU
rnacentral:rRNA from 1 species